UGAUGAUGGGGUGAAGGAAGUGGUGUAGCAAAUCUCUUGAGCCUACGAACGGAAAUCUGAUUAGGCUAAAUGGCGGACAAGGUUGCUCAACAAACCGAAAUCCAAAAGGUAAACGUAAAGCCAAGACAGUAAAUCAGGAGGUUGUGGAGAGAAAGAUAAG
rnacentral:ncRNA from 1 species